UUUGAACCGAUAAUGGAGAAGAGUAGGUCAGAAUGCAUGGAGAAGAGAGGAACCGUCCCGGGCUGAAAGCGGAUCCGCACUGCAUCUUUCUCGAAACAACACUCCGGAGGUUCCCUGCUGAACGCUUUUGCAAGUCAUUAGGCAGCGGACGUGAACCUGCGUUAAAGGUCAGAGCGGGGAUGCUUCGGCAUUCCAACUAGGGUGGCACCACGGGUAUAACUCUCGUCCCUACU
rfam:Bacillus amyloliquefaciens FZB42, complete genome.